CUUAAUAACCAUACAAAGGCAGAGAAACGGCAUAAGAAUAAGGGGAGCCAAUCAAUAGAAUAGAAUACGUUAAAUAUCAUUUAUUAGGAGAAAUUAAAAAUCUCCCUACCAUUUCGGAUCGGAGUGCUCGUCUCGAUAUUAUUCGGUGCUCCUCCGCACAUUUCCCGACGAUCGCCGCCCUUCCUCCACAGUCCGUCCACCAGAAAUGGCUCAACAUUCACUCUGCGCUUUCUCUCCCGUAAUUAUUUUAUAAAUUUAAGGUAAUCGGGUGAUACAGUUUCUUUAGAAGUGCAAUUUGAGGAAUUCUUGGUUGGGGGAAGGAAGAUCACAAGAAGGGAGGUAGAGCAAUGGCUAGACAAGUUGUGCACCAUUCCAGGGGAGGCGUUCGGAAGGUGAGAUUAGCCGAGUUGGCCGGCGCAACAGCCGCCGAGUGCGCUGCGGUGUGCUGCUGCUGCCCAUGUGGGGUAGUGAACCUCCUGGUUUUGGCCAUGUACAAGUUGCCGGCAGGGCUGUGCCGUAAGGCGUUGAGACGGAAGCGCCACCGUAGACUGAUCAAACAAGGUCUGUUGCCACCGCGGCAGUGCAACUGCGACGACAAUAACCUCGAAAUCCACCCAACUUCUGGCCCUGUCGCCAUGGUAAAUGCUCUAGAAUCAAACGCAGACAAGGAUGUAAUUGAGCUAGAGAAGGAAAUGUGGGAUAAAUUUUACAGUGCUGGAUUCUGGAGGAGCUCCUCGCAAAGAAGUGAAAUGUAGUGGGAAAUAACCGUAAAAUCAGCAGCUGGUUGGAUUUGUUUCAAAUGAUUGAUUUGAAGACGAAACAGUAAGGCAAUUCUAGAGAAACAAACUGACAGUGAUGUCUUAAGGUGCCUAAAGGUUCGUCACAUAUUUUGAGAUUACCAAAAAUGUGGGAAUUUGGUUGAUUAAAGUAUACACGCAAGUGUUGGAUGUGAUAUCCUUUUACUGUAAAUAAUGUUAUUUAACAUCGGUUUAUGUCUCGUUAUAUGAUAAGUUUAAUAAAAAAUUAUUAUGUGAUUUA